UACGUAGGGGGUGAGCGUUGUCCGCAGUUACUGGGCGUAAAGCGCGCGUAGGCGGGGGGUUAAGUGAGAGGUGAAAGGCUGGGGCUCAACCUCAUGCAGUGCCUCUCAUACUGGCCUUCUUGAGGGCGGUAGGGAGAAGUGGAAUUCCUGGUGUAGCGGUGAAAUGCGCAGAUAUCAGGAGGAACACCGGUGGCGAAGGCGGGUCUCUGGGCAACUACUGACGCUGAGGAGCGAAAGCGUGGGGAGCGAACAGG
rnacentral:rRNA from 1 species